rnacentral:rRNA from 1 species
AGUGAACGCUGGCGGUAGGCCUAACACAUGCAAGUCGAACGGCAGCACAGUAAGAGCUUGCUCUUACGGGUGGCGAGUGGCGGACGGGUGAGGAAUACAUCGGAAUCUACUUUUUCGUGGGGGAUAACGUAGGGAAACUUACGCUAAUACCGCAUACGACCUACGGGUGAAAGCAGGGGAUCUUCGGACCUUGCGCGAUUGAAUGAGCCGAUGUCGGAUUAGCUAGUUGGCGGGGUAACGGCCCACCAAGGCGACGAUACGUAGCAGGUCUGAGAGGAUGAUCAGCCACACCGGAACUGAGACACGGUCCAGACUCCUACGGGAGGCAGCAGUGGGGAAUAUUGGACAAUGGGCGCAAGCCUGAUCCAGCCAUACCGCGUGGGUGAAGAAGGCCUUCGGGUUGUAAAGCUCUUUUGUUGGGAAAGAAAAGCAGCAGGUUAAUACGCCGCUGUUCUGACGGUACCCAAAGAAUAAGCACCGGCUAACUUCGUG